AACUCUGAGAGAAUCUGAAUGAUUUAGGUUGGCAAAGACCUUUAAGAUCAUCCAGUCCAACCUUUACCACUGCCAAGGCCACCACAUUCAGCUUCUUUGUAGGAAUGUGCCACAUGGAUUUCCUUCUUCCUCUGGUGGAUUGUACAGUGGGUUUAAACUGCCUCGUGUGUGGUGAUGACCCACAAAGACCCUCUCAGACAUGGACCCUGGACCAUCCCAUCCUGACUGUUCACAGGUCAAUCUCCACUUAUUUGAACAGCAACUCCCCAUAAAAUCCUAGUGCAGCCCUCUUUACAUGCAGG